rnacentral:lncRNA from 1 species
CGGCUUCUUCGGCUCCGGCGGCGGCAGCUUCUGCACCGUGACAGUCAAAACCCCAUCCUGGCAAACAGCAGAAAUCGCAUCCACGUUCGCGUUCUCCGGCAACACAAACUUCCUCAUGAACUUGCCGACCCUCCGCUCCAUCCUCACGUACUUAGCCCCUUCUCUCUACAGAAGCAUCAAACUAAUGUAGUUUAGAUGUCCAUAUCUUCUAUGCCACAACUGAGAUGACUCUUCAACAGUUGCUCUAUUAGCCAUGUGAGGAUUAACAUAUUCCAAACUUAAUGGAAAGCAUCUGUUUCCUUUCAUUGGAACACUUGCAAUCAGAUCUUCCAUCUGUCUAUCUCCAUAAAUAUCAACCAUGUAAUCACCAAAACACAAGCCAAUGUCCAUGUUCUACCAUCUGCCUUACACUCAAUAAGUUUUUCAUCCAAUCUAGGUACAAUCAUAACUUCUUUAAUAUACCUAGUCACACCUUUCAUCUCAAUCACCAAUGUGCCUUUGCCUAUUGACUGCACUAAAUCUCCAGUGCCCAUUUUAACUCUACACUUCACAUUCUUAUCAACAUCAAUAAGCAAGGAUUCAUGGGAGGUCAUAUGAUUGCUACAUGCACUAUCUACAUACCAUAUAUUCAUACUUCUUCCAAUAGUAGCAGAAUGGCAGGCAUAAAACAUGGUUGCAUAUUCUAUUACCUGAUUCACAUAGUUUACAAGUUUUCCAGACUUGUUUGGUUGAUCACAAUCCUUGAUGAAAUGACCGAAACGAUUGCAUCCAUGACAUUUCGGCUUCCCUUUAAACCAGCACUCACCAUAGUGCAGUUUAUCACAAUGCUUGUAUUUUCCCUUAGACUGAUCAGAUUUUCCUCCUUGAUCAUAUUUGCCACCUCGAUUAGCAAGAUUCUGAGGUUUAGGAUCCCAUUUCUUUCCUUUUGAUUUCCAAUCCUUCUUUGGUUUAGAAUUACCAAACGAGAGAUUUGGUUGGGUUCCUUUUGAAUUCAGAUUCAGAGUACUGAAAGCUCUUUCAAUGGUACUCUCAGCAUGCCUAUCAAGGCGUUGUGCAAACCCUCUUAAUGCUGCAAUCACCUCUUGUACCUCAAUAGUUUCAAUAUCCUUGGUUUGUUCAAUUACAUAACAAACAGGAUCAAACUCCUUAGUUAAGCUUAUGAGCAAUUUCUGAACUAAUCGUUCUCUGGGUAAAUCUUCCCCAUAACCCUUCAUCUGAUUUACCAACUCGAGAAGACGAGUGAGAUACAUAGACAGAGUUUCAUCAUCCUUCAUCCUUGUGUACUCGAAAUCACGGCGUAGACCCUGCAACUUGAUGGAUCUCACUUGCUUAUCACCAUGAAAUUCCUGAUGUAGGAUAUCCCAAGCACCCUUUGAGGUCUCUUCGUUUGAGAUUCUGGGAAAGAUGUCAUCCGAGACAGCUCCUUGGAUUAUACCCAGUGCCUUAGCAUCCUUCAUUAGCUUGUCGCUCAGAGAAACUCUCUCUGACUCCGAUGAGCCUUCAUCUCCAAUCUUCUUAUCCUUCGAUUAUGAAAUUUCAAACCCCUUUUCAAACUAAAUCCCAGAUUCCAUGUGAUUUGAAAAUAGUUCUCAUUCGAAUCUUCCAAAAUUCAUAGUUGUCACCAUUGAAUAUUGGAGCCCGAAGAUCACUACCACCAGAUCCAGCCAUUUGAGACUUGAAUCGACAAAACUGAGUUGGAAAUUUCACGUUGGAUUUCCAAGCACAGCACUCACAGAUCUUACGCCCCGAUUCCAGAUAGAACCUGUGCUCUAGAUACCAUGUUAAGUUUUUAGUAAGCUGAUAUAUUCAGGAAUUGGAUUUUAAAGGAAGCUGAAAAGACAGAGAGGGUGAGAGGCAAGGUUUUUCACAACUGCAACUCUGUUACUAUGCAGAGAGCAACAUUUCAUUCAUAUACAUUCCUUUCUUUUACAUCAGACAUCAUAAUAUCCGUUCAAUUACACGAGUCAAUGUGAUUUUUGACACAUGGCAGAACAAAGCAUAUGAGCCAUUGAAAAAGAGUCUUGAUCUAAGACCAUACACUUGGCAUAUGAGCACAAGUUAUCACAUCAUAAAACAGCUACUCAAUAGAACAAAGAUAAAAUAGAUAAGUAAAUCAUUUACUAACUUGAAAUUAGUAAGCAAUUUACUUUUCAACAAUCACUAGCUAAGUCACCAAUCAAGGCAUAUGGAAUAUGACUAAUUUAAUUAAGAAGACCAUGUGAGUCCCACUUUGAUUGGUUGUUUAUUUUUCUAUCUUCUGAUAUGAUAUGUUUCUUGUCUUAGUAGAGUCAUGUUUUGAUCCAUCUCUCAUUUUUCUUAAUUAAAUUAUUAUCAAGUUUAUAUUAAUUGCGCCUAAACCACAUAUAUAUGAUAGUGCCUUAUGACUAUAUGAGAUACUAAUUAAUAUGAUUAGGUUUCUCUUUGGUGGUAGUGGUAUAAAAGCUUAUAUGAAUGAAUUCCCGUAACCUAAUACUGCUAAUCAUAUAAGUGGAGAAUAUAUAUAGUUGAUAUAUAUUUCAUGAACUAAUACAAGCAAAUGUAAUUAAUGCUAGUGACAUGUAUUAAUUGGCAAAAGUUUUUUACAUGCAUCAACUGUUAAGAGUUGUCAGAGAUUGCAAUAAGACAGAGCCUAAUAUUCUUCUCCAGCUAGAUAUAUUGUUUCUUAGCAUAAGAAUGUGAACAUGAUAUUCCACACAAAUAACGCCCCAUAUGAUAAGAGCAUCUUAGUAAAAUAGGCCAAUUUUUUAUGUCAUGUAGGCAAAAACAUGCUCAACUGGGUGUAGUUAAUUGGGUAGGCAAAUUUUACCCACUUCAACACUGCCCUACUUUCAACAUUAUAGGUAAAUUGGGUUUAACGUCUCUAUUUAUAGUAGAGUAUUUCAUGUGGACGAAGAAGAUAAAUUAAAAUAUAAAAGAUGAAAAAAAUAGUAAAUAAAAUUUUGUCUACUUAAUCUAUUACUUAUUUUAUUAGAGUAACACAUUUCAUAAAAUAAUUGUAAUACAUUUUUAUUUGAUUUGGCGUCAUUGGAAAGUGCGUGAAGGAUUUGAGCUUCUUCUCUACACUUCCAUGGGGCCAGGAAUACGUGCUGUAUAUUUUAUUACCGUCAUAUCAUCAAAAGAUCAAAAAAUAUAUAUGUGUUCUUACAAGUUUUACCAAAAGAAAUGGGAGUAGUGACGUCAGAUUUGUGUAGUUGCUUCUGCUCAAUGCGAUCUGCCAAAGUCGGAUGUACGUCAAACAACACAAUCUUCGCCUCUGAGUUGGGCCAAACUGCUUUUCUGCAACUGGAAGCUUCCUUUUUCGGCGUUUAGCUUUUACAAGUGGCAAAGUGUAGAAGCCAUUCCAGUUUUGACUAAAAAGUGGUUUUCAAUUUUACUAUUUUAGCGGGUUUCGGUUUUACGUUUACUUUGCGGCUUCUAGGGUUUCUUGCUUUUUACUGCCACAAGUGUAAUUGAUUAGGCUGUGUCGGAUUUUUACAGCUAACUAUGAUUAGGAGAAAGAUUAAGCGUAAAAAAAUGUUGUAAAUUUUGCCUUGUUUAUAACCCAGGAAAGAUUUGCUUUGCUUUUUUUAACAUGGAAUAUUGAUAUGUAUUUAAUUAACUACAUGAUAUUGAUACGUAUCCUUUUUAACUUAUCUCUACGCUUUGGUAUAAAUUGAACCAAUCAGAGGAGAAUGAAAACAUGAAAAUUGAUACCUUUUUUUUCAUUUUUGCCUUUAAUCAUGUUUUCGGCUUUUGCUUAUUAUAGUAUGUGGAUUCUAUGUCCAAUCCCACCCAAAAGAAUAGUAAUUGUGCUGCAUAAAUUGGCAUAUAGCGAAGCCCAAUCCAGUACAUACUAAUAAUUGGGUUCUAGCCCAAGCCUUGAAAAACAAUUUCAGGGGAGGAGUUAUAAGCAUAUACUAAUGUGAGAGACCAAGGAAUUAACAUUUGUUAUUCAUCAGUUCAAAUAUGUAUGAGAUGGAUAACCAUAUGAGUAUGUACAUCUAUCUACAUCUAUCACAAAAAUUGAUCGCAUAUCGUAUUGCAGAUGAGUUCUGCCUCCAUUACAGAUGUGGUUUUUUAUGUUCUCACCGCCGAACAAGUAGUUUGUGUUUGGGUUAAAACUUAAACUUUGGGCUUAAAAGGGAGUUGGCCCAAAAGGAGGAGAGAAGCCCGAAGCCUAGCCGAAUCCCAGGAGGCCGAAGAGGCCCUUUUCUGACUAGGUGCAGACCAUGUGAACCACUUGCUCACCUACCCAAAGACCAAAUGGUAUAGACCAGCCAGCUAAUCAGCCCAAAAGUACUUUACAAUGACAGUACAAGUAAAUAGCUGAUGAGUCACUACCCUUCAAGAUGCAUUCGGGCAGGAUUACUGCUACAGGAGGCCAAGCCGAAGUGUCUAUAAAAGAAGAAAGAGAAAUCAGAGUUAAGGACACUCAAUCAAACAAACAAAUACAAGCACAAACUCUGCUCAAAACCCUUUGUGAUAGCUCUGCUACCUUGUCCUAAGCUUGCUGUAGUAUCGAUUUCUUUCUGUAAACUCAUCUCCCUACCCCCAUUUCUAAAAGCUCAAACCCCUUGAUAAACCACAAAGAUAGGAAAUUGCAAGACGAUUAGCCUUACCCGACAAGGUUAAACCUUGCCUGAACCUCUUUGUUUUUGUCUUGUCAUUCAUUAGCCUAGCAAUAUGUUGUAUACUUCCAGUUGUAUUCAAGUUAUUUCUCGUAAGAUGACUAUUAAAAGACUCUCUCAGUGCUGGAAUCCAAUUUGAAUAUGUCUUCACAGUUCAAACCAGAUCUAAGUUCUAAGCUCUCGGGCAUGUAAAAUUGAUCAUUUAAAAGUCCUUGGUCUCAAGGCAGAAAAAAAACCUUAUGUGGACUUAACCCAUCCACGACAAGCUUUGAUAACAAGAAGUCCGAAGUUACUUGGGGUGCAAGUAAUCGAUUUAUUUCUUAGUUUUAUUUCUAUUACAUUAUGAUUAUAGUAGAACGUUUGAGUAUAGAAGGAAUUCUGAUGGGAAGCCUCAAGGCCUAUAUCUGAGGCCAUACAAAGGCAUCUAUUUGUAUUCAUUCUGCUCUACGGGUUCAGAUAAUCAGAAGUAUAAUGGUUAUAACACUUCUGCAAACAAUAAAACAGGCAUCGUAUAUUCGAGUACUGGGUUAGUUCUUGAUCGGAAGCCUCAAGGCCUACAUCUAAGGCCCCACAAAGGCACCCGUCAUAACUAACACGGUCGCUCGGGUAUAUGUGCAACUAAAAUUCAACAUCCAUUUUACAUCGGCCAUGCUAAAGAUAGCAGUGGCACGCCUGAGCACUUAAAAGUUAAUCUUGAUUGUGAGCCUUAAGGCCUACACCUAAGGCCCCACAANNNNNNNNNNNNNNNNNNNNNNNNNNNNNNNNNNNNNNNNNNNNNNNNNNNNNNNNNNNNNNNNNNNNNNNNNNNNNNNNNNNNNNNNNNNNNNNNNNNNNNNNNNNNNNNNNNNNNNNNNNNNNNNNNNNNNNNNNNNNNNNNNNNNNNNNNNNNNNNNNNNNNNNNNNNNNNNNNNNNNNNNNNNNNNNNNNNNNNNNNNNNNNNNNNNNNNNNNNNNNNNNNNNNNNNNNNNNNNNNNNNNNNNNNNNNNNNNNNNNNNNNNNNNNNNNNNNNNNNNNNNNNNNNNNNNNNNNNNNNNNNNNNNNNNNNNNNNNNNNNNNNNNNNNNNNNNNNNNNNNNNNNNNNNNNNNNNNNNNNNNNNNNNNNNNNNNNNNNNNNNNNNNNNNNNNNNNNNNNNNNNNNNNNNNNNNNNNNNNNNNNNNNNNNNNNNNNNNNNNNNNNNNNNNNNNNNNNNNNNNNNNNNNNNNNNNNNNNNNNNNNNNNNNNNNNNNNNNNNNUGGAAGAGGUGAAUGUCGGUUAACCUUACGCCCAUUUUAUGGAGAGGCUGCUCCCAAGUCUCGAACCCGAGACCUACCGCUCAUGAACCAGAAAUAGUAUGCAUAUCAUUAUUUAAUCGAGUCUUGGUAAACCUGAAGUCAUUUGGAAAAACAUAUUGCAAACCUAUUAAUGCCCCAUUUACGUGAGUAACUAACAUGUUCCAAAGCUACUUCCAUAUGAAUGCUUAACAAAAAAACAAACUUAUCUUGAACGCACUAAAAAUGUUUGAUAUCAUUGCAUCUCAUUAAUAUGGUUGUCCAAGAAUGAUAAUGUUUUGUUAUUUAUUGAGAUCACCAUUUCAUUCACUCUUCAUUCACAUUCUAUCAAACAAUUGGAAGACAUGGAUGGAACCAACUCUAAUCUUAAAAAUAGCAACAUCAAGGUAUCCAUGAAUAUACACUAAAGCUCGGAAGAUCGACACUCAAAGUAUCCAUAAACGUUCACCGAAGUUCGAAGGGUUAGCUGACCCCCUACCCCUCAAUGCAUCCGCCACUACUGUCAACCAAGUCGGAAACGAAGAUGUCAUUAAAUCUGUGCCACCACUUGCUGCAUCCAAUGGUUUCCAACUAGAAACUCCCUUCCCGGAAUGGCACCGCCGUGGUGUCCUCAGUGUCAGUGGCAUCCUUAAAUCUUGACAAAAAUGUUGAGAUAUUGGUAUCUCAACAUUGCUCUGUUUUCUAGGUCCGGCGACCAAUCAGAGGCGCCUAACGGAACCGGCAUAGGCUCGAACAGAACCUCAAAGAGGCAGAGAAAUUAUGCAGUACCUCAUCUCAAUCUGUUUAAACUUUAAAAUGCUGACACACGGAACAAAGUAUAUGGUGUAAUUCCAAACACACUCAUAUUACGAACUCUGUUUGAUUACGUUCGUAAAAUGCUCGGUUAUUCGAGUUAUUUGUUCCGUUGAUUCGCGUUUUUGAAGCCAAUUUUAUGAUAACAUAAACAAAAAUGGAAAUAAAACACAUAAUAUGCUUCAUUGAUCUGAAAAACCAACAAGCUUAUAAUACCACAACACAAACAUAACAAACACAUCCAGAAUACACCAACGAAGCCCUAAAAUCCACACACAAACCCUUAUGUUAUAAUCCCUGCACGAUUAUUCUCAUAACCCAAAUCACAGAAACAGUUUCAAGCAAUCUUGACCUCGAUUGUCUUCGGCUUCUUCGGCUCCGGCGGCGGCAGCUUCUGCACUGUGACAGUCAAAAACCCCAUCCUGGCAAACAGCAGAAAUCGCAUCCACAUUAGCAUUCUCCGGCAACACAAACUUCCUCAUGAACUUGCCGACCCUCCGCUCCAUCCUCACGUACUUAGCCCCUUCCUUCUCCUCCUCCCGCUUCCUCUCGCCGCUGAUCAGAAGCACAUUGUCGUCCUCCACCUGGACCUUGAUGUCCCCGGACUUCAGUCCCGGCAUGUCCACCACGAACACGUAGGAGGUCGGGUACUCCUUGACGUCUGCCGGCGUGGAGGCCAUGGCCUUGGCGUCGCGGAAGUAGGUCCGGGUGGGGGCGUUGAAGGAUUUCUCGGCGUCGUCGGCGGCGUCGAUGAUGUGCUGAAGUGUGGAGAAGAGCGGGGCAUCCAAACCCUGGAUUCUGACAUCCAUUCUUCCCUUCUUGGUGGGUGGAAUUUUUGCUUUUCGGUUUUGAUUUGAAGGCUUUUGUGAGUUUUCGAGUGGGAAUCUCGUCGCUGUUACGGAGGGGAGUAGUGGUUGUGGGUAUUUAUAGGAGGAGUUGAGGGAGGACGGGGGUUAGCGGGGAGGGAAAAUGAAUGUUCUGGAGAAACGUGGAAGGAAGGGAGGAGGUUCCAGUAGGUCCCAUUUCUUCUGUGAGCGUCUAGAACAUUCUGGAAGCGUUUACUAGGUAGGGGCAGGGCCCCUAUAGCCAUUUAUGAGAUAUUUUGUUGGGAAAGAACCAAAAAGCUAAAAUAGAUAACAGUACUAAAUUAAAAGAUAAUCACCAAAAAGCAAAAGAGAAAAAUGUGACGAAGAUAAUCGUGCACUUAAUUUUGUUAUGUGAAGAAACAAACGAAAAUUAAUUCGAUAAAUCGACGGCUAGAGGUAUUCUCCCUGUUUGGUUCAAUCAUUUAGGGCACUUUUCAAAUUACAUAGAUAAUGAGUUAAAUGACUAGUUUGAUUAACAUUUCAUAAAUAAUAUAACAAUGGUCAAUCUACUGGGACGAACACUUCAUAAAUAAUGUAACAAUGGUCAAUCUAAUGAUAUUCUUGGUGACGAAUUGAGAAUAUAUUAAAUAUGAGCCACCAAAAGACAAGUAAAUUCCUAGUAGCACCACUUUUUAAAUUAUUAAAUAAUAUUAUUAUUAGAAAAAAAAGUAAACUCUAAAAUAAGGUUAUCAAUUGGUACACAAAUAAGAGCUCGUUUUGAUGUGCUUUUAAAAUAAUUGAAAAUACUUUUAAAGAAAAUAUUUGUAGGUUCCAAAAGCACUUAAGUGUUUUCUACAAAAAUAACCAUUUAUGUGCUUCUUUCAAGAAGCACUUUAUGUGCUUUUCUAAGAUUUACUACUAUUUUUACUAAGGAUUGUUUCCAAAAAAUAUUUUCACUAAAAGCGCUUUCAGUCAUUUUAAAAACAUAUCCAAACGAAUCCCAAGUUAUUAAAAAUGCUGGUUUUAUAUCCAAAUUGGAAGAUUACAAUAUAUAUCUGAAGUCAAGACGGCACCCACCUUCCUUUCCUUCUUUUUCUUUUUAUAUGAAAGACCAAAAUGAAAAACAGAAACAAAGCAUACAAAUUUACAGCAAACACAGAAAACCAAAUAGGCCAACAACAACAAAACAACAACAACAAAGCCUUUUCCCACUAAGUGGGGUCGGCUAUAUGAAUCCUAGAACGCCAUUGCGCUCGGUUUUGUGUCAUGUCCUCCGUUAGAUCCAAGUACUCUAAGUCUUUUCUUAGAGUCUCUUCCAAAGUUUUCCUAGGUCUUCCUCUAUCCCUUCGGCCCUGAACAUCUGUCCCGUAGUCACAUCUUCGAACCGGAGCGUCAGUCGGCCUUCUUUGCACAUGUCCAAAUCACCGGAGCCGAUUUUCUCUCAUCUUUCCUACAAUUUCGGCUACUCCUACUUUACCUCGGAUAUCCUCAUUCCCAAUCUUAUCCUUUCUCGUGUGCCCACACAUCCCACAAAGCAUCCUUAUCUCCGCUACACCCAUUUUGUGUACGUGUUGAUGUUUCACCGCCCAACAUUCUGUGCCAUACAACAUCGCUGGCCUUAUUGCUGUCCUAUAAAAUUUUCCCUUGAGCUUCAGUGGCCUACGACAGUCACACAACACGCCGGAUGCACUCUUACACUUCAUCCAUCCAGCUCGUAUUCUAUGGUUGAGAUCUCCAUCUAAUUCUCCGUUCUCUUGCAAGAUAGAUCCUAGGUAGCGAAAACGGUCGCUUUUUGUGAUCUUCGCUAGAUUGCUCCGGUCAUUAGUGUGGAUAAGUAUAUAAAUGGAUAGAGAUAGGAAAGCAAACACAAGAUGUACGUGCUUCACCCAGAUUGGCUACGUCCACGUAAUAGAAGAGUUCUCAUUAAUUGUGAAGGGUUUACACAAGUACAUAGGUUCAAACUCUCCUUUAGUGAGUACAAGUGAAUGAUUUAGUACAAAUGACAUUAGGAAAUAUUGUGGGAGAAUGAUCUCGUAAUCACGAAACUUCUAAGUAUCGGAGUGUGGUGUCGUCUUGACUUGCCUUAUCUGUCUCAUAGGUAGAUGUGGCAUCUUCUCUGGAAGUACUCUUCCUCCAUCCAGGGGUGGUAUCUUUAACUGGUGGAGAUGCACAAGGUAAUGUAUCAAUUUCACUUGAAGCUUACUUGUAGUUUCAGGCUUGGUCAAGCGCGAUACAAACCAUGUAGUAGGAGUCCCCCAAGUCGCCGAGCUAGGGGGUCUGCUGAAAGAGGUGACAGACAAGGUAAGCAAUCAGAGCUCCGACUAAUUGUUCACCUUCUCCCCAUCUUGCAGCAGCAUGAAGGAUAAAGAGAAGAAAAAUGAGAAGAGAUGAUAUGAGAUACUUUUGCUUUUGAAGAAGUAACUUUCCACAGGCUUAUUCUUAAACUGAGCUGGAGGGUUUUCUGGUUUCCUCCAGAGUAUAAGGCCGACUGAAGAAUUUGAGGGUCAAAACAAGUCCAUCAAAUCUAGAGUACGUUCCACCCUGCUGAUAUGGGAUACUUUUGCUUUUGACAGAGUAAUGGAUGUAUCGGCACGUGUGCUGUUACGCUUGUCUCCACAUGCUUCCUUGUAUCCUUCGCACUUGCCCUAUCUGUUCCUCAAGCAGAUGCGGAAUCUUCCCUGGAAACAUAAGAUGUUGAAGAUGAGUACUCGAGAGCAAUGCCAGGUAAGUAAUCAGGUAAGGGGUUCCAGGCAGUCAGUUCCUGGCUGGAAGCUUGAUUCCAAGUGCUGACUGAUUGCUCUCUUUCUCCUUGUCUUGCAGGUAAAAAACAAGGCCAAAGGAAAAGACAGGGAAAAAGCAUGAUAUGGGAUACUCUUGCUUUUAACCCUGAUGAUAUGAGAUAUUCUUGCUCUAGUAUAGCUUGUUUGCAGAGGUAUUAUCGGGGGGAAAGAAAGCUGAAUAUUUCGAAAGGCUUCGUUGGGAGUGCCCUCUCAGAUAUGAUGAAGGGUUGAGCAUUUUUGCAAGUCUGCCUGUCCGUUGGGGAUGGAGGUCGACAUAUAUAGGAGUCUCCCUAACAACAAGUAGUAAUGCUAUUCCUUUACCCUGCUUGGUCAUAGCACGGUAGUGGGAGCUGCCAGUUUCACAUGUUUUAACUCUGUCAGAGCACUUUGAAAAAGUGGUCUGUGGUAUCUGGCUCUCGAGAUUCGAAGAACGAUGCCUCUUCGAUUUUUGAGAAAGCAAUCAUGCUGGGGGUCUAGCUCUCGAGAUUCGGAGAGCAGUGUCUCUUCGAUUUUUGAGGAAGUAAUCAUGUUAGGAGUCUGGCUCUCGAGAUUCGGAGGGCGGUGCCUCUUCGAUUUUGGAGCAAGCAAUCUUGUUGGGAGUGUUGUCUCGAAUGUGAGUAAAGGUUGGGCAUGUUUGCUAGUCUACCUUGCCCCGAAGCACAAAGGUUGACACACAGGGACUUUCCAAUUAUCCUAGCAAUGGUACUGUUCCUUUACCCUCUCUUCGCUUUUGAGAAAGUAGUCAUGUUGGGAGUCUGGCUCUCGAGAUUCGGAGGACGGUGCCUCUUCGAUUUUGGAGCAAGCAAUCUUGUUGGGAGUGUUUUCUCGAAUGUGAGUAAAGGUUGGGCAUGUUUGCUAGUCUACCUUGCCACGAAGCACAGAGGUUGACACACAGGGAACUUUCCAAUUAUCCAGCAGUGGUACUGUUCCUUUACCCUUGUGGGUAAUAAUAUGGUAGCUAGACCUUCAAAAUUUAUGUGUCUAAACUUUGUUAGUGCUGUUUCUUUGCUAUUCUUUUACCUUUCUUGGUCAGAGCGAUGUAGUGGGAGCUGCAAGCUUCACGUGCUCAACUUUGGCAGAGAACUUUGGCAAAGUUAUCUGUGGUACCCAUGAGCUAUUGUUGCGUGUGGGAAGUGGGUGAUUGAACAGUAAGAUUCAUGUGCUUUCUACUUCACCAGAAGUCUUCGACAGAAUGCCCAUAAUUUCUGCAAAGCUGAGUGUGCGUGUGACAGGUGCUGACAAGGCUAGAAAAGUAGGUGCCUCUUCGAUUUCUGAGAUCGGCCCUCGUGGUCUCUGAGCAGCCCAGCUUUUGAGAAAGCGAGCGCCUCUUCGAUUGAUUCGGAGAACGAUGCCUCAUCGAUUUUUGAGAAAGCAAUCAUGCUGGGGGUCUGGCUCUCGAAGAUUCGGGGAGCAGUGUCUCUUCGAUUUUUGAGAAAGUAAUCAUGUUGGGAGUCUGGCUCUCGAGAUUCGGAGGGCGGUGCCUCUUCGAUUUUGGAGCAAGCAAUCUUGUUGGGAGUGUUUUCUCGAAUGUGAGUAAAGGUUGGGCAUGUUUGCUAGUCUACCUUGCUACGAAGCACAGAGGUUGACACACAGGGACUUUCCAAUUAUCCAGCAAUGGUACUGUUCCUUUACCCUCUCUUCGAUUUUUAAGAAAGUAGUCAUGUUGGGAGUCUGGCUCUCGAGAUUCGGAGGACGGUGCCUCUUCGAUUUUGGAGCAAGCAAUCUUAUUGGGAGUGUUUUCUCGAAUGUGAGUAAAGGUUGGGCAUGUUUGCUAGUCUACCUUGCCACGAAGCACAGAGGUUGACACACAGGGACUUUCCAAUUAUCCAGCAGUGGUACUGUUCCUUUACCCUUGUGGGUAAUAAUAUGGUAGCUAGACCUUCAAAAUUUAUGGGUCUAAACUUUGUUAGUGCUGUUUCUUUGCUAUUCUUUUACCCUUCUUGGUCAGAGCGAUGUAGUGGGAGCUGCAAGCUUCACGUGCUCAACUUUGGCAGAGAACUUUGGCAAAGUUAUCUGUGGUACCCAUGAGCUAUUGUUGCGUGUGGGAAGUGGGUGAUUGAACAGUAAGAUUCAUGUGUUUUCUACUUCACCAGAAGUCUUCGACAGAAUGCCCAUAAUUUCCGCAAAGCUGAGUGUGCGUGUGACAGGUGCUGACAAGGCUGGAAAAGUAGGUGCCUCUUCGAUUUCUGAGAUCGGCCCUCGUGGUCUCUAGGGAGCCCAGCUUUUGAGAAAGCGAGCGCCUCUUCGAUUUCUGAGAUCGGACCUUGUGGUCUUUGAGCAGCCCAACUUUUGAGAAAGCAAACGCCUCUUCGAUUUCUGAGAUCAACCCUCGUGAUCUCUAAGCAGCCCAGCUUUUGAGAAAGCAAACGCCUCUUCGAUUUCUGAGUAGGCGCCUCUUCGAUUUCUGAAGCUCCGUCGAGUGCAGAUUUUUAUAGGGGCUGGCAUUAAGUUCCAAAGCACACUUGAAUCUCCACCAGUAGAAGCUUCAUUCUUGCACUUCUAAGAUCUUGAUUUGUCCGACCUCUUCUCUCUUCAACACCUUUGAAAAUGUCUGGCCCCUCCGACCGUCGUUUUGACUUGAACCUUGUUGAAGAGGCAGCCCCGCCUUCUCCAGACAACAUAUGGCGCCCAUCCUUCGUCUCCCCUACUGGUCCUCUUACCGUUGGGGAUUCCGUGAUGAAGAAUGAUAUGACCGCUGCGGUGGUGGCCAGGAACCUUCUCACUCCCAAAGAUAACAGACUACUUUCCAAACGGUCUGAUGAGUUAGCUGUUAAGGAUUCGCUGGCUCUCAGUGUUCAGUGUGCAGGUUCUGUGUCUAAUAUGGCCCAACGCCUAUUUGCUCGAACCCGCCAAGUUGAAUCAUUGGCGGCUGAAGUGAUGAGUCUCAAACAGGAGAUUAGAGGGCUCAAGCAUGAGAAUAAACAGUUGCACCGGCUCGCACAUGACUAUGCUACAAACAUGAAGAGGAAGCUUGACCAGAUGAAGGAAACUGAUGGUCAGGUUUUACUUGAUCAUCAGAGAUUUGUGGGUUUGUUCCAAAGGCAUUUAUUGCCUUCGUCUUCUGGGGCUGUACCGCGUAAUGAAGCUCCAAAUGAUCAACCUCUGAUGCCUCCAUCCUUCUAGGGUUCUGUCCAGUACUGAGGACUCCAAAUGAUCCCCCUCCGGUGCCUUCUCUUUCUGGGGCUCUACCGACUGCUGAGACUUCUCCUAAGCAACCUUUGUGAAGGCUCCCUCUUGUGUGUUUAUUUUGACUCAUGUAUAUGUACAUAUUUGUAGCUUAUCGGGGAUAUCAAUAAAUAAGCUUUCCUUCAUUUCAACGUAUUGUGUUAAAUACACCAAAGCCUUCUUCGCUAAGUUCUUUGAAUUUUCUUUUGUUGAAGCUUGUAUGUUGAAGCUUUCUGAGUGGAGCAUGUAGGUUGGGGUAGUGUUCCCUUAAUUUCCGAGUGAGUGAGGAAAACUUCUCGGUUGGAGACUUGGAAAAUCCAAGUCACUGAGUGGGAUCGGCUAUAUGAAUCUUAGAACGCCAUUGUGCUCGAUCCUGUGUCAUGUCCUUCGUUAGAUCCAAGUACUCUAAGUCUUUUCUUAGAGUCUCUUCCAAAGUUUUCCUAGGUCUUCCUCUACCCCUUCGGCCCUGAACCUCUGUCCCAUAGUCGCAUCUUCUAAUCGGAGCGUCAGUAGGCCUUCUUUGCACAUGUCCAAACCACCGUAACCGAUUUUCUCUCAUCUUUCCUUCAAUUUCGGCUACUCCUACUUUACCCCGGAUAUCCUCAUUCCUAAUCUUAUCCUUUCUCGUGUGCCCACACAUCCAACGAAGCAUCCUCAUCUCCGCUACACCCAUUUUGUGUACGUGUUGAUGUUUCACCGCCCAACAUUCUGUGCCAUACAGCAUCGCCGGCCUUAUUGCCGUCCUAUAAAAUUUUCCCUUGAGCUUCAGUGGCAUACGGCGGUCACACAACACGCCGGAUGCACUCUUCCACUUCAUUCAUCCAGCUUGUAUUCUAUGGUUGAGAUCUCCAUCUAAUUCUCCGUUCUUUUGCAAGAUAGAUCCUAGGUAACGAAAACGGUCGCUCUUUGGUAUUUCUUGAUCUCCGAUCCUCACCCCUAACUCGUUUUGGCCUCCAUUUGCACUGAACUUGCACUCCAUAUAUUCUGUCUUUGAUCGGCUUAGGCGAAGACCUUUAGAUUCCAACACUUCUCUCCAAAGGUUAAGCUUUGCAUUUACCCCUUCUUGAGUUUCAUCUAUCAACACUAUAUCGUCUGCGAAAAGCAUACACCAAAGGAAUAUCAUCUUGAAUAUGUCCUGUUAACUCAUCCAUUACCAACGCAAAAAGGUAAGGACUUAAGGAUGAGCCUUGAUGUAAUCCUACAGUUAUGGGAAAGCUUUCGGUUUGUCCUUCAUGAGUUCUUACGGCAGUCUUUGCUCCUUCAUACAUAUCCUUUAUAGCUUGGAUAUAUGCUACUCGUACUCCAUUUCUUCUCUAAAAUCCUCCAAAGAAUGUCUCUUGGGACCCUAUCAUACGCUUUUUCCAAAUCUAUAAAGACCAUGUGUAAAUCCUUUUUCCCAUCUCUAUAUCUUUCCAUCAAUCUUCGUAAGAGAUAGAUUGCCUCCAUGGUUGAGCGCCCUGGCAUGAACCCGAAUUGGUUGUCCGAAACCCGUGUCUCUUGCCUCAAUCUAUGCUCAAUGACUCUCUCCCAGAGCUUCAUUGUAUGACUCAUUAGCUUAAUACCCCUAUAGUUCAUGCAAUUUUGUACGUCGCCCUUAUUCUUGUAGAUAGGCACCAAAGUGCUCGUUCGCCACUCAUUUGGCAUCUUCUUCGUUUUCAAAAUCCUAUUGAAAAGGUCAGUGAGCCAUGUUAUACCUGUCUCUCCCAAAAGUUUCCACACUUCGAUUGGUAUAUUGUCUGGGCCUAUUGCUUUUUUAUGCUUCAUCUUCUUCAAAGCUACAACCACUUCUUCCUUCCGGAUUCGACGAUAAAAAGAGUAGUUUCUACACUCUUCUGAGUUACUCAACUCCCCUAAAGAAGCACUCAUUUCAUGUCCUUCAUUGAAAAGAUUAUGAAAAUAACCUCUCCAUCUGUCUUUAACCGCGUUCUCUGUAGCAAGAACCUUUCCAUCCUCAUCCUUGAUGCACCUCACUUGGUUUAGGUCCCUUGUCUUCUUUUCCCUUGCUCUAGAUAGUUUAUAGAUAUCCAACUCUCCUUCUUUGGUAUCUAGUCGUUUAUACAUAUCGUCGUAAGCCGCUAACUUAGCUUCUCUGACAGCUUUCUUCGCCUCUUGCUUCGCUUUUCUAUACCUUUCACCAUUUUCAUCGGUCCUCUCCUUGUAUAAGGCUUUACAACAUUCCUUCUUAGCCUUCACCUUUGUUUGUACCUCCUCAUUCCACCACCAAGAUUCCUUUUGGUGUGGGGCAAAGCCCUUUGGACUCUCCUAAUACCUCUUUUGCUACUUUUCGGAUACAACUAGCCAUGGAAUCCCACAUUUGGCUAGCUUCCCCCUCUCUAUCCCCACACACAUUGGGUGAUUACCUUCUCUUUGAAAAUGACUUGUUUUUCUUCUUUUAGAUUCCACCAUCUAGUCCUUGGGCACUUCCAAGUCUUGUUCUUUUGUCUUACUCUUUUGAUAUGUACAUCCAUCACCAACAAGCGAUGUUGAUUAGCCACGCUCUCUCCUGGUAUAACUUUGCAAUCCUUACAAGUUAUACGAUCCCCUUUCCUCAUUAGAAGAAAAUCUAUUUGUGUUUUUUACGACCCACUCUUGUAGGUGAUCACAUGUUCUUCUCUCUUCUUAAAGAAGGUGUUGGCUAAGAAGAGAUCAUAUGCCAUUGCAAAAUCCAAGAUAGCUUCCCCAUCCUCGUUUCUCUCCCCAAAAUCAUGGCCACCAUGAAAACCUCCAUAGUUGCCUGUCUCCCUGCCCACGUGUCCAUUUAAAUCUCCUCCUAUAAAAAUAACUUCUCCGUCUGAGCAAUUCCUUGCACCAAGUCUCCAAGAUCUUCCCAAAAUUUCUCCUUCGAACUCGUAUCCAACCCUACUUGAGGUGCGUACGCACUAAUCACAUUGAUAAGUUCUUGUCCUAUUACAAUCUUGAUUGCCAUGAUUCUAUCUCCUACCCUCUUGACAUCUACAACAUCUUGUACCAAGGUCUUGUCCACGAUGAUGCCAACACCAUUUCUCGUUCUAUUUGUGCCCGAAUACCAAAGUUUAAACCCUGAGUUUUCUAGAUCCUUUGCCUUACUACCAACCCACUUAGUUUCUUGUAGGCACAUAAUAUUUAUCCUUCUCCUCACCAUAACUUCCACUACUUCCAUAGAUUUUCCCGUUAAGGUUCCUAUAUUCCACGUUCCUAAACGCAUUUUGCUCUCUUGAACUCUACACUUCUGUCCUAGCUUCUUCACCCUCCCCCGUCUAAUAGGAUCAAAGUACUUCUUUUGUGUGUCCCGGGUAAAGUUGAUAGGAGCAUAUGCUCCCAAACAACUUUGAGUGGAGUCGUUCGAAAAGAAGUUUCUAUGGCCCCCUUGCUCAUUUAACACUGCAUCCGGGUGCCGAUGGAGAUACAGCGACCCUUGCUCGCUUAUCACUGUGCUCGGGCCACACAGCGCGCCACUUACGGGUGACGCCCUAGCUUUAACGCGAUUUUGUUCUGGAUUCAUUUUCAUAAGGAUUCGACGUGAUCAUGGAGUGCCGGCUGUCGACUACCUGACGCCCUCCCCCUCCUCCUUUAUCCGGGCUUGGGACCGGCCAUGUAAGACAUAGGCGGAGUUGAAAACCAAAUAGGCCAAAUUGAAUUAUUCAUCCUUGUGGUCAUAGGAAACUUGCAUGAUGACCCCGUGAUGAAAAAAUUAGGAAUUAAACCCCUGUGGUCAAGAAUGUUAGAAAAUUUAGUCCAAAAGUAAGAUUUCUGUUAAAUGACUGUUAAAAGUAUGGGUAAAACUGUAUUUUCAGUUCCAAUUGACAUUUAAAAUAAAUAUUUUUUAUAACAAUUAACAAAAAAAAUAAUGCUUAAUUUUUUAAAUAAAAAAAAGCCCCAAUUCAAUGUCAAUUGAAACUGAAAAUACAGUUUUACUCCAACUUUUAAGUUUUAACAGUCCUUUAACAGAAAUCUUACUUUUGGACUAGAUUUGCUAACAUUUUAGACCAUCGGGAUUUAAUUCCUAGUUUUUUCACCAUAGGGGUCAUCAUGCAAGUGUCCUAUGACCAUGGGAUGAACAAUUCAAUUUGGCCAACCAAAUAACACGAUGCAUAUAUACUUCAUCGACAAAUAUAUAUAUACCGCCACCGCUACUCAGUAGUAUCCUCAUGUACACUGAUCAUGCACUGCCAUCAGAGCAAGCCGAUCUCUGCCUGCUUGUCAAGCCCUUCAACUUUGCCAUUCAUACCCACCGGCACCACGUUCCCCACCGCCCUGUCCACCUUGCCAACCACAUUCCUCUUGGCCACCUUCUUCCCAGCCUUGACCACCUUUGCCUCCCUAGCCACCGCCUUCCCUACCACGUUCCUCUUGGCCACCUUCUUCGGAUUAUACUCGGAUUAUUUCAACAAUAUAAAUUAAUGCAUACUGCUUUUGCCAGUUCCGGAAGUGGAGAGAGCUGUUUACAGCACAUGCUCUGUUGAAGGAUCCAGAAAAUAAUAUUAGGAGGAUCAGUAAGAAUAAUACGCAAUAUUUUUUACCAAAAAUAGCAUGCAUAUCGCUAUUUCAUCGAGUCUUAGGUCGUCUAAGAUCAUUUAGAAAUGAAUGCCCCCUCAUUUACGAGAGUAACUAACAUCUUCUAAGACUGCUCCCAUAUAAAUGCUUAACAAAAAAACACACUAACAAUGUUUGAUACCAUUACAUCCCAUUAAUAUAUUUAUCUAAGAAUAAUGAUGUUUUGUUAUUCACUGAGAUGAUCAUUUCAUUCACUCUUCUUUCAGACAUUUUAUCAAAUAGUUAGAGAGCAUGAAUGAAGCCAACUUUAAUCUUCAAAAAGGCACACUGAAAUUCGAAGCAUCAGCACCUAAGAUGUACCCAUGAACGUUCAUCGAAGUUGGAGAGGUCAGCUGACCCCUGUGCAUCCGCCACUGCUGUGAACUAAGUCGGAAACGAAGAUGUCAUUAAAUCUGUGCCACCACUUGCCGCAUCCAAUGGUUUCCAACUAGAAACUCCCUUCCCGGAAUGGCACGGCCGUGGUGUCCCCAGUGUCGAGGGCGGUAAGUGGCAUGCUUAAAUCUUGACAAAAUGUUGAGAUAUUGGUAUCUCAACAUUGCUCUGUUUUCUAGGUCCGGCGAUGAAUCAGAAGCGCCUAACGGAACCGGCAUAGGCUCAAAACAGAACCUCGAAGAGGCUGAGGAAUUACGCAGUGCCUCAUCCCAAUCUGUUUAAAAUGCUAACACACGGAACAACGUAUAUGGCGUAAUUCCAAACACACAUAUUACGAACUUUGUUUGAUUACGUUCGUAAAAUGCUCGGUUAUUCGAGUUAUUUGUUCCGUUGAUUCGCGUUUUUGAAGCCAAUUUUAUGAUAACAUAAACAAAAAUGGAAAUAAAACACAUAAUAUGCUUCAUUGAUCUGAAAAACCAACAAGCUUAUAAUACCACAACACAAACAUAACAAACACAUCCAGAAAACACCAACGAAGCCCUAAAAUCCACACACAAACCCUUAUGUUAUAAUCCCUGCACGAUUAUUCUCAUAACCCAAAUCACAGAAACAGUUUCAAGCAAUCUUGACCUCGAUUGUCUUCGGCUUCUUCGGCUCCGGCGGCGGCAGCUUCUGCACCGUGACAGUCAAAACCCCAUCCUGGCAAACAGCAGAAAUCGCAUCCACGUUCGCGUUCUCCGGCAACACAAACUUCCUCAUGAACUUGCCGACCCUCCGCUCCAUCCUCACGUACUUAGCCCCUUCCUUCUCCUCCUCCCGCUUCCUCUCGCCGCUGAUCAGAAGCACAUUGUCGUCCUCCACCUGGACCUUGAUGUCCCCGGACUUCAGUCCCGGCAUGUCCACCUCGAACACGUAGGAGGUCGGGUACUCCUUGACGUCUGCCGGCGUGGAGGCCAUGGCCUUGGCGUCACGGACGUAGGUCCGGGUGGGGGCGUUGAAGGAUUUCUCGGCGUCGUCGGCGGCGGCGUCCAUGAUGUGCUGAAGUGUGGAGAAGAGCUGGGCUUCCAAACCGGGGUUUCUGAUGUCCAUUCUUCGCUUCUUGGUGGGUGGAAUUUUCGCUUUUCGGUUUCGAUUUGAAGGCUUCCGUGAAUUUUCAGUGGGAAUCUGGUCGUUUUGGAGGGGAGUGGUGGUUAUGGGUAUUUAUAGGAGGAAGAUUUGAGGGAAGACGUGGGUUAGCGGGGAGGGACAAAGGAAUGUUCUGGAGAAACGUGGAAGGAAGGGAGGAGGUUCCAGUAGGUUCGCUUAAUUUCUUCUGUGAGCGUCUAGAACAUUAUGGAAGCGUUUACUAGAGGCGGCCUCUUUAGCCAUUUACGAGAUAUUUUGUUGAGAAAGAGUCAAAAAGUUAAAAUAGAUAACAGUACUAAAUUAAAAGAUAAUCCCAAAUAAAAAACAGAAAUAUAUGAAGACGAUAAAAAACAAACGAAAAUUAAACUCGGCACCUGUGGUUAUGGUAUUUCAAAUUCAAAUUAAACAAUAACAAAAUAGUCACUCUAAUGGUACUCUCUGUGACAAAUCAUCGAAAUAUAAUAAAAAUGAGCCAACAAAAGACAAGUAACCACUAAAAUGUAGGUGAUCCAAUAUUCUAGUAUUCAAUUUGAAAAUACCUUUAAAUCAUUGUAAUAAUUCGAACCUAUCCCUCCUUUUAAUAAUACUAAAAAUAAAAACUCUAAAAUAAGUUCUCUAUUAAAAAGAUAUUUAUUUUAAAAAAAAUUUAUUUACAUUAAAAGAAAAAUAUGUGAUUAUCCUCACUGAGCUAUAAUUCAAAUUCAUUUUAACAAAAAUCAAAACCUAAGCUAUAAUUCAAAUUCAUCUUAACAAAAAUCAAAACCUAAGAUCUUUAGUUACAAAUGAAUUCGUCGUCGUACCCAGUGCACAAGACUCUCGCUUUACGCAGAAUCUAAAAGAGGUGAAUGUCGGCUAACCUUACACUCAUUUAUGAAGAGGCUGGUCCAAUACAAAUGAAUUCGUCUUAACAAAAAUCAAAAUAUAAGAUCUCUCGGUGAAGAUGACGGAACGGAACCCGAAUAAGCUCAAACAGAACCCCGAAGAGGCUGAGAAAUUAGGCAGUACCUCAUCUCAAUCUGUUUAAAAUGCUGAGACACGGAACAACGUAUAUGGCGUAAUUCCAGACACACUCAUAUUACAAACUCGGUUUGAUUAUCGUAAAAUGCUUGGUUAUUUGAGUUAUUUGUUCCGUUGGUACGCGUUUUUGAAGCCGAUUUUAUGAAAAGAUCAACAAAAAAUGGAAAGUAAAAACAGAGACUGAAAUAGGAAGUAAAGACAUAAUAUGCUUCAUUGAUCUGAAAAACCAACAAGCUUAUAAUACCACAACACAAACACAACAAACACUUCCAGAAAACACCAACGAAGCCCUGAAAUCCACACACAAACCCUUAUGUUAUAAUCCCUGCACGAUUUUUCUCAGAACCCAUAUCACAGAAACAGCACUCAAAAGUUUCAACCAAUCUUGACCUCGAUUGUCUUCGGCUUCUUCGGCUCCGGCGGCGGCAGCUUCUGCACUGUGACAGUCAAAACCCCAUCCUGGCAAACAGCAGAAAUCGCAUCCACGUUCGCAUUCUCCGGCAACACAAACUUCCUCAUGAACUUGCCGACCCUCCGCUCCAUCCUCACGUACUUAGCCCCUUCCUUCUCCUCCUCCCGCUUCCUCUCGCCGCUGAUCAGAAGCACAUUGCCGUCCUCCACCUGGACCUUGAUGUCCCCGGACUUCAGUCCCGGCAUGUCCACCACGAACACGUAGGAGGUCGGGUACUCCUUGACGUCUGCCGGCGUGGAGGCCAUGGCCUUAGCGUCGCGGACAUAGGUUCGGGUGGGGGCGUUGAAGGACUUCUCGGCGUCGUCGGCGGCGUCCAUGAUGUGCUGAAGUGUGGAGAAGAGCGGGGCUUCCAAACCGGGGAUUCUGAGGUCCAUUCUUCGCUUCUUGGUGGGUGGAAUUUUCGCUCUUUGGUUUCGAUUUGAAGGCUUUUGUGAAUUGUCGAGUGGAAAUCUGGUCACUGUUACGGAGGAUGGUGGUGGUUCUGGGUAUUUAUAGGAGGAGAAGUUGAUGACGUGGGUUAGCAGGAAGGGAAUAAGGAAGGUUCUGGAGACACGUGGAGGGAAAGUAGGAUGUUCCAGUAGGUUCCAUUUUGUUCUUCGGUGACCGUCUAGAACAUUUUGGAAGGUUUUACCAGAGGCGGGCCACUUUAGUCAUUUGCCAUAUUUUUUGUUGGGUAAGACGAGGACGGAAAAGCUAAACUAAAAAACAGUACUAAAUUAAAAGAUAUGAGCAGAUAAAAAUAGGUGAUUUUGAUAUCCUAAUAAAUAAGGUGAUGAAUUUUAACUAUGCGUAUCAGUUGAAAAAUAUUAAACUCUAAGGUGAUGAAUUUUAACUAUGCGUAUCAGUUGAAAAAUAUUAAACUCUAAAUUGGCAGACAAAAAACAAGUUAUUACGGAAACCAGUUUAAUAUUGUAAUUAAUUUCACAUAAUGGUUCUUUACAUUUCCAAAAAGGAAGAGCACAAUAUAUUAACCUUAAUAUAUCAAAGACAACACCAACCUUCCUUUCCUUCUUAUUCUUUUUUUUUUUUUUUUUUAUAUGAAAGACCAAAUUAAAAGAAAAACAUAACCAAAGUAUAAGAAAUUACAGCAGACACAAAAAACCAAAUAACACGAUGCUUAUAUGCUUUAUGCACAUAUAUACGUACUGCCACCGCUAUUCAAUAGUAGCCUCAUGUAAACAGAUCAUGCACUGCCAUUAGAGCGAGCGGACCUCUGCUUACUUGUCACGCCCUUCAACUUGUCCUUCAUACCCACCGGCACCACGCUCCCCACCGCUCUGCCCACCUUGCCUGCCAUGUUCCCCACCUUGCUCACCGCCUUGCCUACCACGUUCCUCUUGGCCACCUUCUUCCCAGCCUUGACCACCUUUGCCUCCCUGGCCACCGCCUUGGUCACCUUGCCCACGGCCUUGCCUACCAUGUUCCUUUUGGCCACCUUCUUCCCAACCUUGACCACCUUCGCCUCCCUGGCCACCACCUUGCCUGCCAUGUUCCCAACCUUGGCCACCUCCCUGCUUGCCACGUUCCUCUUCGCCACCUUCUUCCCAGCCUUGACCACCUUUGCCUCCCUGGCCGCCGCCUUGGUUGCUGCUUAUCUGGAUCUGAAUAGUCUUGGGCUUCUUCUGCUCUGGCGGCGGCUUCUUCGCAACUGUCACAGUCAGCACCCCAUCCUGACACUCGGCCGAAAUCCUCUCAAUAUCGGCGUUGUCCGGCAGCACAAACUUCUUGAGAUACUUCCCGAGCCUCCUCUCCAUCCUCAAGUACUUGAUCCCCUGAUCCCUCUCCUUCUCUUUCUUCCUCUCCCCGCUCACCACCAGCACGUUGUCCUCCUCAAUCUUCACAUUAAUCAUAUCCGGCCUCAGCCCUGGAACAUCCACCACGAAAACGUACGCAUCUUUAGUCUCCUUCACAUCUGCGGGUGUGGCAGCCAUGGCCUUCGCCUCCCGGACGUACCGGCGAGAGGGGGCCUGGUAGCUUUGUUGGUUCUGCUCGUCGGAGAUGUCGAGCAGGUCGUGCAGGGUCUCCAGCAGGUUGGGAUCGAAACCCAAGUUCCUCAGGCUCAUCACUUCCAUACCCACGACAAUGAAAACGAUGAUAUAGUAUUCUGUAAAUAAAUUUGGUGCGUUUUUGUUAGGGUUUCGGAGAGGUUAUAUAGAGAGGGAAAAUGUGAAGCGGUGGUGUUUGUGAUUAUAUCGAUAGGGUUUGUCCUGAUGCCCCUGCUACGUGGGGUUGAGAUGGAGGUUUGGGUGGUCUACGUGGCAUGCGUAGAUGGCUAGUACAAAAUUACAAAUGCAUGGGGAGAAGAUGUGGCAAGCCUACUCCGCUCACGUGGAGAUCUAUUUUUCUUCAUGGAAAUCCAAAGUUGAGAUAUAUUUGAGUUCCAAAGCAAUAUAGUUUCAGCUUCUGGCAUGUUCUGCGUCAUGGAAUAUGUUCUACAGACUACAGAACUCUACCAUAUGACCCUCAAUAAAAAAAAUAUGAACGUGUGCAGCUCAAAAUUUUUCACUUUUUUCAUUACGAAAAUUAGUCGAGCACUGCUAUCUCAUAUGUUCCAUAAAUUAAAGAACUGGUCGUUAUUUUCAAAAGAACAAUGACCAUAAUUAAGGAUGAUAUCUAAUCAUUUAUGACUCAUUUGAAAAUAUUUUUAAAACUAUUGAAAGUGUUAGAGAAUAGUUUUGAAUUCUAAAAGCAUUUAAAAAGCUUUCUAUAGAAAAGACCACACGUAUUAAAGAUGCUAUAUAAUCAUUUAAGGCUUAUUUAGAAAUACUUUUAAAAUAAUAUAAAUACUUUAAAAAAAAUUAGAUUCCAAAAACACUUAAAGUGUUUCCCACAUGAUUCACUUGCAUUUUAAAUACUUUUUCUAGAAUUCACUUGUAUUUGUAUCUUAACUAAGAAUUCAUUUAAAAAUAUUUUAACUCAAAUCGUUUUUAACCAUUUUAAAAAUAUUUUUCAACGAACUCUUCUAAUAUUAUAUAAAUUUCAAAAUUUUCUCAUAUUUUAUGAGGAAUGAAUUCCUGUUUUCUCGUUCUUUAAUAUAAGAAUAAAGUAGUAUUAUUUUAUUUCUUGUCACCCAGCGUCAAGUGCGUAUAUAACUUAUGUUCAGUCCGUAACUGAUGUCUUUCUGUUAAAUGUACGGUCAGGCCCGAUCCUAAGAAUUUGGGGCUAUAAACGAGCCUUUGAAGUGAAGCUUUAAAGUUCUUUGACUCUCAAUUCUCUAUACAUAGUCCUGAGAAUUUGAGGUUAUAGAUGAGCCUUUGAAGUAGAGCUCUAAAGUUCUUUGACUCUCGGUUCUUUAUACAUAGGUAUUAAAAUAAAAAAAUAAAAAUAAAAACAAACAAACCUUGCCAAAUACAAAAAAAAUUAUAUUUCUACAUCAAAUAUAAUUAAAAUUUGAUAUAAAAAAAAGAUAGAUAUACAAACAUUACUUAAAUAUUAUACGUCUCACAUUUUUAAAUGCAAAUGUACUAAAUAUUUGCAGUCAAGAGUAAAAAAUUGAGAGUGAAGAACAAUAAAACUUAAUUGAUGAGUAUAAUAAAUUCCUCUUGUGUUUUUUUUAACAUCAACAUCACACUAACGAAUCAAAUAUUAAAAUAACCGGAUUAUUGAUAAGCAAACUAUAAAUUUAAAGUUUUUAUUACCUUAGAGUACAAUCUUCAAGGCCAUGUGAUAGUUGAUUUAAACAUUUGAUAGAAAUAGAAUGUAUGUGAAGUUGAAAGAAAAAAAAAUUGCAAAGAGACUUAAGUUUUAUAAUUUUAUAUGCAUUUGAAAGAUGGAUUAGGAGUAAUUUGAAAGAAAAAAAUAUUAGUGACUAAAAAGAUAGCUCCAUAUUUCGAACUCAACACCUCAAAGAAUAAAAAAGUUGGCCUCCCAAAUUUUUGAUUCCCCAAAGAAACCUUAACUCAUCCCUCUCAAGCGUAGGAUUGCCAAUUCGAAUGGCAACCAUGACAAAUUUUCCCGUUUAGCUCAUUCUCUCUCUUCCUUUUAUUUUUCUAUCCAAAUCCUUCCCUCUCUUCCCUCCGCCUUUUUUUCCGUCCAAUCAUUGGGUGGUAAUCAGUACCGGGUUCUAAGAGUUUAAGUCACGGGGGUUGCGGUCAGUGAAGAACUACUUGCGACUGAAAUAGAGAAGACAAGAGAGCAGCGAGAUCUAGUCCUGGCUAAUACCAUACUUUUGGUGGGGAUUAGUUAGAGCCAAUUAGCGAGGUCCAGAGUCGAGGCGAGUUCGAGCUAGCGUCAUUAAAGCUAAGUCUUUGCUGAGUCAAACACUAGACUACACUAGCUAUUAGUCUAGUCCAAUCCAGUGAGAGCUAAGGAUAUCAAACAAACACAUCCUAAAAGGAUAAAACAAAAUUCAAGCAAAAAAUUACAGUAUAUGUAGCCUGAGAUUUCUGAUUUUUGCAGUUUGUGGAUUUGAUUCAAGCAAAAAGGGGGAUGAGAUUCAAGCAAAAAGGGAGGCGGAGGGAAUUUUUGGUUUUGGUGGAAAAGGAAGACUGUAGUUUGUGGAUUUGAUUUAAGCAAAAUGGGAAUGUGAUUCAAGCAAAAAUGGGAGGCAGAAGGAAUUUUUUUUAUGGUUUUGGUGGAAAAAGGAGGAGGGAAUACUAAAGGGAGAAAUUAUUAGAAAACUCUAAUGGCGUUAGGAAAGGUGGAAACCCAGCCAUCAAUUUUUAUUUAAUAAUUACUCUGCCACAUGUCAUUUAUUUAUUGGUGGUUACUACCAGCUGUUAGUACCACGUGGUGGUGCUGUGCCAUCUAAUAAUUUCUCCACAGUGAGGUAGCAGCUGUGGAGUGCUCUCAUAUCACAACAAUCCCUGAAAUGUCGUUCCUGAAACUAAGGUACUUUCUGCUACUUGAUGCUUGCUCAACGCUCAGCUUGUGUUUUGUAUGUAAAUAAGUUAGAGAUUUCCUUCAUUGAUCGCUUUUUGGAUUUUGAGUAUGUUCAGUUUAGUCUCCAAACUAUUAUGAAUUGAGGUAGAUUACGGAAAACAAUGGCAAAUAGGAUAAUAACAUAUUAAGAAACUAGCACUUUCGUAGAACUUAGUGAUGAACACUGUGCUUCGUCUUCGUGUAUGCAAUCUUGAAGUGAAUCCACAUCGAGUAGGAGAAUUAAUAAUUUUGUUUAUUUUCUUAUCCCAUAUGUUACAUUCUCUCGACACUGCACUGGACAACCCUAACAAAAAAUUUAAUUUUGACAAUUAUUAUGUGGAACACCAUGCUGCACUAGAUAUAAGUACUUAUUCAUGAAACUCAAUAUAAAUUUCACAAGAAGUUUUAGGCGUCUCUCUAAUCCCACUUUCUUAAGUGAUUCACAGAUUAAGUUUAGUUUUAUGUCACUUAGUGAUAAGACUCAAUUCUCAAUUCCCUUAAUCAACCUGCAAGUAGCACAAGAAAGCUAUGGAAGAAGAGGGAAGGAGAGAUGAAGGAGCAAAGCUCCAAAUAUUUUUGUAUUUAAUUUCUUUGUUGUAAAUUCUGAUCUGCCACAUUUGAGGGAGCUAGGCUCCUUUUAAACAGACUCUACUUUUUAAAACGCCAGCUGGCAUAUUUAACAAUUCUUAACAAUUCAAUUAAAGCAUAAACCUCAAUUACAUUUUGGGUUCAUAACAAUAUUCCCCCCUUGAAAAUUAGCCUUGUCCUCAAGGCUUAAAAAUGGAAUUGUGGAAGUCCUCCCAAUUACCUGCUGUCCUCAAAGCAACAAGAAGUUGAAUCUGCAGAAAGGCACUCAUUGGCAGAUUCCUCCCAAGCCUUCUUCGAGUCAAGCUCCUGAUCUUCCUUAAUCAACUUAAGGCAUGAAUUCCAAUAGAUAGGGAAAAGAUUGAUGAAUUCUCAUUCUGAAAAUCUAGCAUCUUCACUAUGCAAACAGAGAGACCUACAAGCUGCCAACCUUACAGAUAGGUCUUUGUCCUAUAGCAAUCUGAUCAAAGCACAGUAAACUAGCAUUUUUGUGUCCUUUUUAAUAUCAGAAACCCAUUGUCCCAAUAUCAGUGCAACUUCCCAGGGGGUGAUACGCAUAUUUGGAUGAUCAAUAUGAACCAAUAAUUCUAAACAUGGUAGUGAACCAACCAAAACAGAUGACUGCAAAGGUGUAAUACUGUCAUUAUUUUCAGCAACAAGAUUAGCAUUGUUUUGUAAUAGAACUUCCACUGCAUCUUGGUGACCAUGACCAACAUCCCAAAUUAAGGAACUUCCAGCGUCUCUUGGUGAAUUAACAUAAGCACCUUGGGGUUCAAACACCCCAGUCCUUUUGUCAACCAACUCUGCCAAUUCUAUGUUCCCAUAAAUCCUACAUGUAAAAAGCAGAGAUCCCCAUAUAACCACAUCAGGUUGAGUAGGCAUAUCUCUGAUGAACUUUUCAGCCACAUUUAACAGAUUAGCACGGUUAAGAAGAUCCACAAUGCAUCCAUAGUGUUCAAUACGAGGAUUGAGCUUAUGAUUUUCAAGAUCCAUGCUAUGUAUCCAUUUAUCAAUGAAUCGGAGCAACCAUGACAAACCUCGAAGAAAUGAUUCAGUAAUGCAUUCCAUCUGUAACAAGCUAUGAAUGUGUCCUGCAUAAAGCGCACCUGAAAUAGCUCCAUGUAGUAAUAAUCGAACCGGUUGUGCUUGAGAAAUCUGAGCCGUUGCUUUUAUCUCCUUUGUCUCCCUUAAUUGUUUUUUGAAAGCAUGUCAACAAAACUUUGACAGCAAGAUUUUAACCAUAUUUUUCUGACCUCAUCACCAGUAUUGCAUAGCAAUCUUAUGCAGAGGACCAUCCCGGCAUAAGAAUCAUUGUCAAUUGGAUGUGGAAGAACUGGAGAUUGUCCUAAUUGCAACAUAGAAACAACAAUCAACAGUGCUCGUGAAAAUGGUUUAUUCACUUCAACUUUUGAUGGUUGGACCCCUUCCAAUCUCAGGGCAAGCUUGAUCAGAGGGUAUGCAACAAUUGUCCCAAGGAAAAAGUCACAAGUGAGAAGCAGGGAUCUCAAGUUCCUAGAUGCCACAGAUCCUUGAAAAAGGGUAGGAGGAGAGAAAGCAAUUCCAGAUGCAGCAUGAUGUGUGGCAUAAGUUCCAUCAGCAAGAAUAGUAGGUCUUUUAAAAGACACAGUCAUGGAGUUUACUUGCUGAACCGUUUGUGAAGAAUCAUUACUUUCUUCUUCCGAAACCGAGAGAAAAGGCAAUUCGCUUAGGCACUGUUUAAUUGAUGCAGUUCCACCUUUAAAUUCAGGAAGUGACGUGCAACAUGCUGCAAAAAUCCAAAGGCCGGAAGAGCAAACCCGUGAUGCUCGGAUUUGGUAGAAAGUGUCUAAUAGCUUUGUUAUUAUAGAUACCUUUACUCUAGGGUUGGUUUCUAUUAUUACUUGGAUAAGAACAAUCAUAUCAACAAAAGAAGCAACAUUGCUGCCUCCUAAGAAUUCCAUCAACAGAUGUACCAAUGUGCUCGCCACUUCUGGGAACUUUAUUGCACAAUAGUGAAUAGCCUGAAUAAGCAUCUUCCUGUAUUCACCAUUCUUUUCUAGCUCUCCAGUAUGAGCCGUGACAACUUCCCUUUUCAAAAUAAGAACAAGCUCAUUGAUAUUUGUGCAAGUAACCAAGCUAAAAACAAUGUCUAGGGUCUUCCUCCUGAUGUCAAGAUUAUGACUAGAAAGUGCCCUCAGCAUAUCCAGGAACAUAUCAGCUACUACUUCUCUAUGAGAAGACUUUAGCUCAGUCAGCCGAUCAAGAACAAUAAGCUUCACAUUGUUGUCACUUUGAGAAGGAAGCAGCUGAUAAUAGGUAUUGGCAGCAGCUCUCCCCUGCUCUUCACAGUUUGUUCGACAUAAUUUUCGCAAGAACAAAAUGGUUUGUGGGAUUGAAUGGUUGUUGGAAGGAUCAGAUGGGAAGUAUUUAUUGGAAAACCUUUCCUUCAUCGACUCAGUUAUUGCCAUAUUGUUUUCUCUCCAUCUCUUAGGCAAUUCAUCAAACAGAUGCAAUGCAAACAAAUUCUUCUUCACAAAUUUACCCACAAGAUACCAAUUUAUCCAACCAUAUUUAUCAUUCCGAAAUGCACUAUAGUUAUCAGUUAAAAGAGAAGGAAAUAUAACGUCCAAAGUUGUUAUAAUGAAACGCAAAUAGAGAACUACCUCAGCUCCAGUUUUCGUAGUAUCAAAGAAGAAGUGUGUUCGGAGUAGCCACGGAGCAAAGGUCAUCGUCGAAGCAUGAAUAACUCUCUUCGAUUCCGGCAAAGAAACUAUGGCUGCAGCGGAAUCGUUCGAUUGUGGCUUGACGGCCGAAGUUGCCAGUGCGCGCAACAUCGGUGAAGAUGAGAGCAAUGGCGGAAUGAAAUGGUCGUGGAUUGUCGACGAAAUUCGCAGUGGGUUGUUGUCUCUGUUGUGAGGUUUUUGGUGACCGACCUCGAUUGAUUCAGCUUCCACGGAACACAUCGAGGCUAGAUCAAAAUCUCCCUCAACAUCGAGAGCCAAGUCACGGUGUAACUGAGCAAGGUCCCUGUGGAUUGCUGCGAGUACAGGAUUCACAGCCUUGUGAAUGGCAGUGAGUGCAGAAUCCAUAGCUUCGCGGAUCGCAUCACGGAUCGCAGCACGCAUCGAAGCUUCAAAUGAAUCGAUUGCAGCGGAGAGGCGUGCAUCCAUGGCAGGAAGACGGGUCGGGUGGGCGUGCACAAGAGGGAAACCAGGAUUCGAGAAGGAUGAUACCAUUGAUAAGACUCAAUUCUCAAUUCCCUUAAUCAACCUGCAAGUAGCACAAGAAAGCUAUGGAAGAAGAGGGCAGGAGAGAUGAAGGAGCAAAGCUCCAAAUAUUUUUGUAUUUAAUUUCUUUGUUGUAAAUUCUGAUCUGCCACGUUUGAGGGAGCUGGGCUCCUUUUAAACAGACUCUACUUUUUAAAACGCCAGCUGGCAUAUUUAACAAUUCUUAACAAUUCAAUUAAAGCAUAAACCUCAAUUACAUUUUGGGUUCAUAACAAUUAGUUGUGGGGAAGGGGUGGAGAGUAGACCAAUGUCUUUACACUUUGAUUUGUUCACUGAUUUCGACUGCAAAGGUAGUAGAAAAGGUAAUAAGCCUUCUACUAAAAUGUAGAGUCAAUCUUCUGCUAACAUGUCAGGGCAAGUCAAGAUUAAUGAAAAAGCAGUAGAAACUAUUGACGGGCAUCUUGAGCUAUCAUUCAUUUUCUAACCUUAAAAGUAAAUUCCUGGAAUAUGUAGUGGAAGGAGGGCAAGUAUUUGUGCGAAUCUGAAUAGUAUUUGUCAAAUAUUUGGAUGAAUGUCUUAUAUAUUGAUUGUUGUAAUGUUGAAAUGUUUCUACAUGCAAUAUAUCUUCAAAAUUCAAAACAACUAUUUAUUGAAAACAAUCAUAGGAAUCUGAAAAAAAGUAUGAAAUAUGGACUUGCCUUCAUUAUUGAACUAGGAAAGCGAAAAACAAAACAGGCGUUUGACGAACUGAUUGUGAUCUGACUCAGAUAUGUGAUGAUGACGAUGCCUCAGCGCCUUGAUCGUGCCUCACCAUAGAACUGAUCUGGGAUGAUGCUUACACUUGAAAUUUUUGCCUUUUUCCAUUUCUGUAAUCUGUAGUAAUUAUCAUUUGAUUACUGGGAUGAUUAUUAGCAGAUGCGUCAUGGCUUGGUCCUACCGAACCGAGCUGGAUAUGGCUCAUAAAUAUAACCAACUUUGUCCAGAUCAUGCACAUUUUCCCUCAAAGGUUUCUCCCAUCCUAGAUUAACCCCUAUUCUCUUCACUGACCUAGGAUAAUUAGGUUCUGCAAUAACUAUUUCAACUUCAACUUCAUCUCCGCCUUGCAAAUUGAGCUUAUCGUUGGAUAAUUGUCCCUGCCAAAGGCCCUUUGGAAGAAUGGUCUCUAUAUCCACAUCAAAAAAUUCUAAGCUUAUGCAGGCCCGCAACUCAGUACGCUUAGUAUUAUUUAUAACGGUAAUGGCAAGAGGAAAAUAGUCAUUAUCGAUAUCGUAUUCGUCGUAAAUGCAAUACAAAGUCAGCCCUUCAAAAUUACGAUCAUCACUCAGGGGGAAUAGCAAAAUUGACUUUACUGCCAUCGUUGCUAGAUUGAAACCAAUCAGGAACCUAAUUCCCAUGGAGGACAAUGCCACCAAAUCCCCAAGAAGUCCUUCCCUAUAUAUACAAUGCAAGUGUCAUAUAUAUAAUUAUAUAUAUUAUAUACAUGUACAUGUGCGUUUGUAUAUAUAUUAUAACACUGAUAUUAUUCCCAACUUGGUAAUUACCACCUGCACAAUCCGUCAGAUGUGAGGUUUUAUCACAAAAGAUCUCUGUAAUAGUUGGAGUAGGAUUAGAAUAUUUAAACUCUUAUUUUCUCAUUAAUACGAUCGAUGUGGAACAUUUUAACAAUACUCACUCGUCUAACAAUUGUCUACUAAAAUGUUUAAAAUCUUGAAAAGCAGGUGAAUGAUUACCUAUUGUCAGUGAUUUGAAGAUGGUGGCCAGACAAAUCUGCAGCUUUUGUAAGAGCCUCUCUCCACUGCUUUACCCUUUCUUUCUUGGACAAGGAUUUUCUGCUCUCUAAUUUUUCAUGUCCUUCUAUGCCUUAUUGUUUGUAUAGUCACGGUUAAACCACGUCAACAUUUUAUAUUAUUAUUUAUUUUUAUCUUGUUAUCUUUAUAAAAAAAUAAUAUAAAAUAUUAACAUAACUUAAUGAUGACCACACAAAACAGAAGAACAUGAAAAAUUAGAGUGCAGACAAUCCUUGUCUUUCUUUCUUGGAUUCAUGUUUCUUGUCAUCUUUUUCUUCAUCAAUGCCCUCUUCGUGCUUUUUAAAUACUUCGGCUAAAUCUCCAUUCUGCUUCUUGACAUGCGAAGGAUCAACGUGAUAGAAUAUUGGAAAAACAUGUCGCCCCCGUUUGGCUCUGCACUCCAUGAUCUUCACCAGCUCGUCAAGACACCAACUUGAAUCCGCAUACCUCUUUGAGAAGACAAUGAUAGAGACCCUCGACUCUUCGAUUGCCCGGAACAGUUCCUCUUUUAUUUCUUCCCCUCUUUUUAGAUCAUCCUCGUCCAUAUAAGCCUUGUAUCCCUUGUAUUUGAAUGCCGCGUGGAGGUGGCCUGUAAAGCCCUUGCGAGUGUCUUCGCCUCUGAAGCUGAAGAACAUGUCGUGAUUCCAAAGUUUUGACUUGGAGGAGGAUGAAGAGGAGGCUUCAAGGGCUGUCAUGGCGGUAUCCACUGUUUGGCACUGCAAUGCUUCAGAUCACGACUGAAAAAAUGGCAGCGGUUAUGUUUGUGUUACCAAACCGAUGAUACUUAAUUACAGAAGCCAAGUCAACCUUUCUUCAUUCAACAAAAACAAAAGUUUAUAAUAUAAUAAUGUUGGCGUAGGGACUUGAGAAAUGAUAUAUUGCCGGCCGGGAGGGUGCAGAGAGGGAGAGAGAGAGAGAGAGAGAAAGAGAGGAAAAGAGGAAAGAAACGAACAUGAAAACACAAAAACCAUCCAAAAGAUUCUUGGUUGUAAUUACUACUAUUCAACUAUCAACAAUGCCUAUUAUUUUUAGGUUAAAAUUGGGAAAGUAUUUGCGAAUAAGCAUGGCAACAACUACAUAACAAAAAAAAAGUGGGUCGAGAAAAGAUCCAAACGUGAAAGGAUAAUCAAGCAUAAGUUUCAUGACCUUUUUUAUUCUUAUUCCUUUGUUAUAAGGUCCCACAUCUUUGACACUAAAAGGAAGAUGAUGUCUUGCCUUGUUAGCUUGAUCUUCAAGUCGCUCAGUAGUAGUCCAGGGUUAUAGUAAUGACCACUCCUUAACAAAAAGAGAAAGGAAUUUUGGAUUUAUUGUUGCUUAUAUUAUUGCAUUAAUUGAUGAUUUAUUUUUGAUAUUCUUGCGGAGUAGUUUAAUUGGUUUUGCAAGAUGUGUUUUUUUCAGAGAGAAAGAUUCAAGUGCAAGAUAUUCGGGUUGGGAUUUGUAUUAGGUUAAAGGUUUAUCAAGGUAAACCAAAGGGGGGGAUUAAAUUUUAGGUUUAUUACUGUUACCUUACUUGACUAGAAUACAUCAAAUGAAGUACUUGCCAACUUUCUUGCAUUUGCGAUGUUCCUACAGCUAUUCAUGAAGAUAAUGACGCUUAUAUUGAUCAAACAAACAAAAUGAGACAAAACCAAGCAUAUUGCAUUGUCCUCACAUUAGCAACAAGAGCAUCAAAGAUAGCGCUGGGUGCGGUUUGGAUUGGUUCAGUUUUGGGUCCAAGACAAGAUGACAUUAAAAGUUUUAAAUCAUUCGUUUGGAAAAGAGAAAAGAGUUUUAAAAUUGCAAUGAGGCAAAUGAGGCAUACAAUACAUCCGACAGUGUCUUUUCAUAUGACGGACUUGGUCUGGCUGCAAUUUGCAAUGACUUUCUUGGCCGUGAGUAGUAACAGCUAGCUAUUCAACUCUUACGCAAUAUAUAUGUAAAUUGGGUCCGUAAUUUUAAGCAUAUGCCAUAUAGUAAUAAACCACAAAUUAAAAAAAUUAUUAACAAAGUAAAAAAAGGGAUAUAUGAUGAGGAGCAUGUCUAUGAGGCUUCACUGAUUGAUGAGAUGGGGACUCUUCAGCCACUUCGCUACCAUUGGCUACCAUUUAAGAGAGAGAAAAAAAAACUACCAUUAGCGUAAGCUGAACAAAAAUCAUCAAAUUAUUUUGGCUAUAUCUUUCCUUGAUCGAUUUUUAAAUAAAAAUAAUAUACGAAAUGGUUACAUAAACGAAUACUAAAAACUGGGUAGUCGCGAAGUAUAUACCUUCUUGAUGCCUUUUUGAGGUCGCUGGGAACGUGGAGUGAAAGAGAAAGGAAAAAAGAAAAUGAAUGAACACGAAAGAACAAAGACUAUUGGCUAAAUGGUCAUUGAGAUUUGUAUAACUCAUCAUUUUGGUCCCUAAGAUUCUAAAUCGAUAAAAGUGGUCCCUGAAUUUGUCCACCAUCCAUCAUUUUGGUUCUUCCGUUAAAAACUUUUUAAGUGUCCCGGAGUUUUUGGCCGGAAGUUUGAGCAAUUUUCAAAGUUUCGUAACUCAAUCGUUUCUUAACCAAAUUCGACCCAUAAUAUAUCAAAAUGAAGAUAGGAAAGUGUAGAAUAAGAUUAUACCUAUUUGGAAGCCCAAUGGUUGCCGGAGAUUGCCGGAAAAUAGCCUCAAAAUUGACUGGUCCGAGGGAAAACAUGAAAACUCGCUAGAAACUGGGUACACUUUAAACAUUCAUAACUUCUUCACUACUCAACGAAAUCAAGUGAUUCAAAAACAAAAAUCAUAGUUCUCGAUGAGAUGAAGAGAAUGUUACCUUUUUUUUACGGCUAACUAGCCUUGGUUUGGCAGGAAAACGGCCCGAAAGUGGCUGUCUUGGUCUUGAGUUAGCCACUUUCGAGCCGUUUUCCGGCCCAAAUACGGCAAUCUAGCUAUAAAAAAAGGUAUCAUUCUCUUCUUCUCGUUGAGAAAUAUGAUUUUUGUUCUUGAAUCACUUGAUUUCGUUGAGUAUUGAAGAAGUUAUGAACGUUUAAAGUUUACCCAGUUUCCGGUGAGUUUUCUAAUUUUUGCUCGGACCAGUCAACUUUGAGGCUAUUUUUCGGCCAUCUCCAGCAACCAUUGGGCUUCGAAAUAGGUAUAAUCUUAUUCUACACUUUCCUAUCUUCAUUUUGAUAUAUUAUGGGUUGAAUUUGGUUAAGAAACGAUUGAGUUACGAAGCUUUGAAAAUUGCCCAAACUUCCGGCCAAGAGCUUCGGGACAUUUAACGGAGUUUUUAACGGAAUGACCAAAAUGAUGGAUGGUGGACAAUCUCAGGGACCACUUUUAUUGAUUUGGAAUCUCAGGGACCCAAGUGAUGAGUUAUGCAAAUCUCAGGGACCAUUUUGGCUAUUUAGCCAAGACUAUUAAAUAGAUUAUAACAAUGACUUUUUGGCAUGAUUACAGCUAUCAACUAUAAGUAAUGCAAUUUAUUUAGGUUGAACAACCACAUAAUAAACAAAAAUGAUUAGAAAAAUAGACCCAAAUGUUAAAGGAUAAUUAAAAAUAAUUAUUCAAGAUGGUUGGUAAAUGAUUCAGCCAUUUAUAAUAUUCAAACUUAGAACAACAAUCUAUUGGAUCAUUAUAUAAAUUAUUAAGUGAUGCUCUAAUAUAAUACACCUAAAUAGGGAUGGACCACAUAAUACACCCAAAUGGACCAGUGUUAGGCUCCACUGCUAAAAACUUGCAAAAUCAUUGUAUUAACUAUUAAGGAUUAAACUUGUAUUAUACAUAUAGACAAUGUUUUACAAGCACAAGGGAGCUAACAGUGUCUAUUGAUAUGACUUGCACUUGGGAGUACUCGCUGCAACUUGCAUGCAAUGACUUUCUUGGCGUAAUGGGGGAAAGAGGAAAGAAACUAGCACGAAACUGCAUGCGCUAGCUACCGAUUCAUUUAUAAUAUUAUAUUAUAUAAUGAUAAUGUUAGGAAGAUUAAAAUAAAUUAAAUUUGUAAAUUAAAUGAUGUUUAUUAAUAAGAAAUAAGUACGUUAAUCAACACGUAAAUAAUAAUCUAAUCAUCAACAAUCAUAUCAUUUAGUUUAUAAAAUGGGAUAUUUUGGAUGCGGUCUCUAAUCUUUAACAUUCUUUGAUGAAAACCUUAAUAGUAUUCAAAGUUUAAUCAAAGUCCCUUGACUUUGUACACCUCAUUAUAUUACAAUUAAUAUUUAUAUUUUUAUAGUUUUGACAUUAAUUGUUUGAUAUUUUAUGAGAUUUAUAAUCCUAUAAAUUUAAAAUCCCUCAUUAUAAUACUAUUAGAAACGGUUACAAUAAAAAAAUUCAAAUAUUUUGAUUGAAUAAAUGAAUAAAAACUAUGUAAAAAUAAUAAAUAAUAAAUGGCAAAAGAAUGUAUCCAUAGUGUUAAAAAAAGUGGUACAUUAAUAAAGAAGAAUGGGUAUAUUAGAAAUAAAUUAGGGUACAGAUAAAAGAUUAAAAAUUAUGAAUACAAAUGAAUUUUUUAAAAUAUAGGCGCUAAAAGAAAUUAAUACAUGGGUACAAAAUAAAUCUAAAAAGAAAAUACUACAAAUUUUAAAAAAAAAUGUUGCAAAUUAAAAGUGGGUUCAAACUAAAAAUAUAAAUAUAUGAUACAAAGUUUAGGCAUAAAACAUAAAUAUACCAUAUGUAAUUGUUCUAUUAUUGAUUAAAUAUACAAUGUCACGUAACGGUAUACACAUGGGUACAAACAUAAAUAAAACUUUAAAAAAUAUGGGCACAAAAAGAAACUAAUAUAUCGGUACAAAUUAAAAAUGAAAAGAAAAUUGGUACAAAUUAAAAAAUAUUUGCAAAUUAAAAAUAGCUACAAACUAAAAAUAAAAAUAUAUGAUAAAAAAUUUAGCCAUAAAUAUAAAUAUACUAAUUGUAACAUUUUUAACAUUAAAGGAAUAUAUUUAAAAAUAAAAAUAUUUUAUUAUUCAAAUAAUUAAUGAUGUUAUUAAUACCGAAGGACCUUGAUCAAAAAUUGAAAAUGAAUAGGAUUUUAAUCAAUGGAGUAACAAAAAUAAAGAUGUGAACCUAAUUUUCCCUUAUAAAAUUUAAUUUAGAAAUUUUGUGCUUCGGCAAGUUUGUAAGAAAUCUUCACGUCUAAAAUACGAUAUGAUUAUAAAUGUAAGUACUGACGACCUCAAAUCUUAUUGGAGCUAAUUAGCUAAUGUAAGAAACAAUCUUAUUUGGAUUCCUUAGCAAGUGGUUAACUAUUUGUUUCUAGUUUAGAAGUGUAGCAGUAAUUAAUUAGUUGAGAUUAAUAUCUUAAUAUUUUUUUUUCCAUCAAUUGUAAUCUAUAUUCUUGUAACACUCAUCAUUUGUUAAUAAUUUGUGCUUCGGCAAGUUUUGUUGCAGGAUCGAUCGAGGGGAGAGGCUUCUUUCAGAUACUCUGUAUGCAAUAUUGGAGAGAUAUAGAAUGUUCAAAGAAACUGAUUUCAAAUGAAGCUAGUGAAUGACAUAGUUGUUUUAGAUGGACGAGCAAAUGCAGCAGAUAGCCAACCCUUUAAAAUUAUGACCAUCAUUUUUAGGCAUAACAAAGUCGCCUACAUAUUUUUUCAUAAGCAAACUCAAACCGUUUGGGGUUAUCAUAAAUCCCGUUGAGAUAAAUGCCACAAUAUCUGCUUGAAGUCCAUCCCUGUACAUGUUGAAAUGUACAAGAAACUCACAUCAAAUUUGUCAAAAUUAAAGAUGACUUGUAUAUUGUGUGGUUUUCACUUCUAAUUAUACCAAGGUAUUUUGUGAUAAACUUUCACAUAUAAUGUUUUAUGCAUGUUGUAAAAUUCAAGUUGAGAGGAAGUAUUGAUGUUGUUAAUGAUGGUCGUUGAUUACGAAUCUCGACAUUAUUUGCAUUUGUUAUGUGAGUGUGUCGUAAGAUGUAUGAGAAGCAAGUCUAUGAGGCUCCACUGAUUGAUGAGAUAGGGACUAUUCAACUAACAAAAAUUUUGUUCAAAAAUAAAAACUAAUACACUGCAAUCACUACCAUUUAUACAAAAACUCCUCUCUCUCUCUCUCUCUCUCUCUCUCUCUCUCUCUCUCUCGAAGAGGCGGCCUUUAUUUAAGAGAGAAAAAAAAAAUUAAAUAUUACUGUAAAUGAACAAAAAUCAACAACUUAUUUUAGUUAUAUGUUUCCUUGAUCGAUUUUUAAAUAAGAAUGAAAAACGAAAUGGUAACAAAAACGAAUACUAAAAAAUCAAUAGUCGCGAAGUAUAUACCUACUUGAUGCCUUCUAGAUGUCGGCUGGGAAGGUGGAAUGAAAGAGAGAGGAAAAGAGGAAAGAAACAAACAAGAAAGGAAAAAGACUAUCCAAUUAUAACAAUGACUUCUUGGCGGUGAUUACAGCUAUUCAAUGCAUUAUUUUAGGUUGGAAUUUGGAAGCAUUUAAGAAGUGGCAUGACAACAACCACAUAAUAAACAAAUGUGAUUAGAGAAAAGACCAGGGCCAACCCAGCCUUAGUGUGGGCUGGGUGACCGUCCAGGUCCAAAAAUUAUCACGGGGGUAAUUUCAUAAAUGCUUUCAUAAGAGUAUAAAUUUAUACAAUUUUUUUUUGAAUGACCAAACAAUUUACCUAGAAUAGUGGUUUUUGUUGUAAAAAUUAACAAGAGGUUCUGAGUUCAAAACAUUGCGUGUUUAUUUACUUUUCAAUUUUUAUGAAUUUCUUUUAAUAAGAGUAUAAAUUUAUAAAAUUUGACAAAAUGAUCAAGAAAUUUAACCAAAAGUGAUGGUUUAUGUUGUUUGAAAAUAACAAGGAGGUACCAGUUCAAAACUCUAUGUGUUUUUUUUACUUUCUAGUUUUUACAAAUUUCUUUUCAAAACGCAAUCAUUUACGAGAUUCGGACUAAAAUUACGAACUACUAAAUCACUCUAUUAAUAUUAAGUGGUGCUUUAUAUAAUUAUUCGGAAUUUAAAGGAGGCAUAUGGGGUUGGAACAUCAAUUUAAAUCUCUCAAAAAAAUAAAAAUCCUAGACAGACAAGAAAAUCAAAAUACAGAAUGCGAUUGCAAAACAAUGCUCGUCUGAUGAAAGAGAAAAAUAGUAGUAGUAAUAUUCCCUAUAUACGCUGCAAUAGGCUUGCCUUUCUCAGCAGUAAGUUCCCAAGGAGCAAUCGGCCCGUGGAUAAUCAUGUCAGCAUCCAGAAUCACAACCCUAUUAAGAACAAAAAAUGCACAAAUAAUCCAAAUUUAGGAGAUGUGGUUGUUUAAUUGUACCUAAGGUGUAGUAGUUAUUGUUGGUGUUUACCCUUCAAGGGAGUCGAAGAUCUUGAAUUAAAGAGGAAUGCGGAAACUAGGAUUAAUAUUCAAUUUCUAUGUAUACUGGACAAUUUAAAGAUUGAGAUUUUUUUUCACUUCUACAGUUCUACACACUUUCUAGACCUAAAUAUUUCCGAGAAACAAACGAAAAGUGAAAAAAAUCGUACCCGGUCCUAGAGAGCAUACGUGAGAGGUUUUAAUCCAAACAUAAAAAAAAAACAAUUGACAACUAAAUCAGAAUUUUGACAACCAAUCAUCAAAAAAUUCAAAAUUUCUAAAACCUUUCGAUCAACUUUGGACUUACAUUGCAGUCUGUAGCUUUUCCAACCACAACGAAGGUAAUCGAGAAGGAAGCGAGAGCAUGGAGCAGCUCCCAUGGGAGCUCCUUGACAAAUGGUCUCCUAAAUACUGAAAAAUUAACCAUUUUUCAAAGUAAAUGCAGGGUUCAUAAAACUCAUGUGAAACUUAUUAAGAUUAAAAAACUUAGGCGAAUCAGUUUGUUCACAUACCUCACAUCCUGAGCCAAGAGAGCCAGAGGCUGCUGCUGCUGUUUUCGACAAAAUUGGGGCAAUGGUGGAGGAAGAUAGGAGGAGGGUUCUGGCAGAGCAAAUUGAUGAAAAAAAAAUAGAAGGGAAAAUGUAACACGACUUAGUAAUUUUAUAUGUUACGAAAGUAGUGAUAAAGUCCUGAUAAAAUAUCUACAUCUUUAUAUCUUUCCACUUUGAUAGCUAAAUUAAUAUUCUUAACCGAACCAAGUUCUUGAAUUAAAGAAUCUGGGGCUCUCUAUAGCACUGGAAAGAAUAUAACAUAUGAUUAAACAUACACAACCCAAAAGAUCCAUCCAGGCUAACCCCAUUGAAUUAAAACAAAUUCAACCAGGAAACAAAAAAAUUAAGAACAACCCAAAAACCAAAAGAACCCUAUUGUAGUUUUAGCUCACUAACCCAUCGAAUGAAAACAAAUUCAAUCAAAGAACAUAAAAUUAAUAACCCAGAAAUUUAAUCAAAUAAUUCUGCAAAAAAAGACACCAUUGGGUAUCGAAACUCAUGAAGAGCUCGGAAAUAAUCAAACCAACAUCCAAUUUAGUACACACCUAAGAAAAAUAUAAGCAAGAAACCAUUCCCAACUCUCCAAUCAUUCAUCAAACACAAUAAUACAAUCAUAUAAAACUCUCAUUCAUUUAUCCAAAUUGAAUUAAUUCAAUCUUCAGUGGAAGAUCUCAGUUAUUAUUAGAUAAUCUACCACUGAAUCAGAAGAGUUGAACAGAAAAAGGUAAACCAAACCAAAUUAUCCAUUUCAAAAGGCUGAAGCAGUGAUGUAAAUUAUCAAGGGGGGAACAUAUAGGGAAAAGAUAAGAAAAAAUGGCUUACCAAUUGUGGCUAUUGCCACCCCAAACAAAGACAACAGCAACAGACCUGAAAAAUUGAAUGCUGAAUUAAAAGAAACAUAUAUUGGAGAGUCAAAUUGAUAAAAAAUCCAACAUAACCAAAAUUUACAUUAACAGAUAAACAUACACCAGAGUAAAGAAAAAGAGAACCAAUGUGUUUCUGGUAAGGACCCAGCAAACCACCUAACACUUCAUACCACUUCUCAAAAAAAUUCCACAGAACAGAAUCAAAUCAAAAAAAAAAUUUGGUCUGAACUGAAAAUUAAGUAAAAAAAUUAAAACUCUUUUCUGAUUUGAACAAUAAAAUGCCAACCAAAAAUAAAAUAUAUACAAAGAAAAUAUAUAAACACAUUAAAAACUGAAAAACAUUCUUGCAUUCUGAACUAAGCAACAAACACUUGCUUUCAGUUUUAUAUAUUUAAACUCAUGACUGAUGAUAAAAUUACCAAAAUUUAGAAACAAUGUCAAUGAUAAGGACAAUGACUAAAAUUUCAUAUGACUAAAAUUUAGAAAAUGCAGAAAUUUGGCUCUGAACGAUUAAAAUAUAGAACAACAAAAACAAAACAAAAAAAAACAAACAUAAAUACUUACCGGUAAUAAAUCCCACCCACCACAGAAGCUCUAAGAGAUAAGAAUACCCUUCAUAACCUAUUACAAUCAAGAAUCAAUGAAAACAUUUCAGAAAAUCAAAAUCGUAAAAGCAAAAACUGAAAUUUUGAGGAAAAUUUGAAAUAAAUAAAUAAUCAUCAACUCUGACUCCAGAAGUAGCUGUAGGUACCUCAAAAGUGAGAGACAAAGCGAAGA